UGUACAUGUGUAGCUGGAUCAGUGUUGUGUAACCAUUGUGUGGCUCUACUUUUCCAGUCUGCACAUUAUUCACAGCUUGACAUUCCAGUUGUUCCACCAGUGCUGAGCUGUACGGAGAGUGAACAACAGUGGCACAAGCCAAGAACCAUGGGUAUUAAACCAGGUCCCAUCGAAAAGAUGGCUGUGAUGUCUGCCAAACCAAAGCAGAGGACCAUGGCCGAGGGAGUAAGGUCCACACUGUACAAAGCCACCAGUGGAGAGUUGCUGGACCUGUCUGUUCUCAAAGUGUCAGAGAUCUACAAAGAGUUCACCCCUAUUUCUGCACCAACCAUUUGUACAAUGGGUAUCACCUGUGAGGUGCCACUGGUGAACUGUGCACUGGGUUUGGUACAAGUAGGUAGUCCUCUUUC